rfam:Basidiobolus meristosporus CBS 931.73 K493scaffold_1192, whole genome shotgun sequence.
GGGGUUCUAGCUCAAAUGGUAGAGCGCUCGCUUUGCAUGCGAGAGGCACAGGGAUCGAUACCCUGGAUCUCCA